UCGCAUACCGACCGCGACCCC
rnacentral:rRNA from 1 species